GAUGAACGCUGGCGGCGUGCUUAACACAUGCAAGUCGAACGGGAAUUAUUUUAUUGCACCUUCGGUCGAUUUAAUUUAAUUCUAGUGGCGGACGGGUGAGUAACGCGUGGGUAACCUGCCUUAUACAGGGGGAUAACAGUCAGAAAUGGCUGCUAAUACCGCAUAAGCGCACAGAGCUGCAUGGCUCAGUGUGAAAAACUCCGGUGGUAUAAGAUGGACCCGCGUUGGAUUAGCUUGUUGGCAGGGUAACGGCCUACCAAGGCGACGAUCCAUAGCCGGCCUGAGAGGGUGAACGGCCACAUUGGGACUGAGACACGGCCCAGACUCCUACGGGAGGCAGCAGUGGGGAAUAUUGCACAAUGGGGGAAACCCUGAUGCAGCGACGCCGCGUGAAGGAAGAAGUAUCUCGGUAUGUAAACUUCUAUCAGCAGGGAAGAUAGUGACGGUACCUGACUAAGAAGCCCCGGCUAACUACGUG
rnacentral:rRNA from 1 species